AGUCUGCUCUGAGAAAAGGGCCAAGUUCAGGGCAGAGACUACCUUCCUGGGUACCCCCCAAGAAGGAGUCUUGAUCACUUCUCUAAACAUGCCCUGGAUGCUCCCAGAGCUCAUGAAAACGCUGCUCUCCAUUAGUGCUAGCAGCUCUGGUGAAGGCUAAGUUGAAGCUCUUAGUUCAGGAGAGCAGAGCUGCCUCCCGCUGCCACCACCGUGGUUCUCGGGUGGUAAUGGCUCUAUUAUUGGCCAUGUCAAUUGGAGCAACCAUUUGGAAAGUCAUUUGGCAACAUCUCCUAAAGCUGAAUAUACAUGAAGCCUAGGAGCCAGGAAUUCCACUUCCAGGAUAUGCCCAACAGAAAUGAAUACAUAUGUUCACCAAAAGGCGUGUCCUAGAAUGUUUAUAAUUGUGAACAGACCAAAGCUAGAAACUACCCAAGUGUCCAUCCACAAUGGAGUGGGAAGUAAAAUGUCUCUUCAUACAAUGGAAUCCACAUAGCAAUGAGAACAGAGAACUUACAAAAGCACACAGCAACAUGGAUGAAAUUCACAAGCAUAAUUCCGAACAAAAAAUGCCAUGUACCAAAAAGCUUAUAGCAUAUAACUCCAUUUAUGUACAGUAGAAAAACAGGCAAAACAGCUAGCCUGUUAGAAGUCAGAAUGGUGGUUACCCUUUGAAGGGCUGUUCCCAGAUGGGGACUCAUGGGGUAAUGUUCAUUCCAUGUCUUGAACUGUGCACUGAUUACACUGGUGUGUUUAGUUUGUGAAGUGUAUCCACCUAUACACUUAUAAUUAUGUGGAUUUCUGUACGUACAUUAUAUUUCAAUAACAUUUUAAGAAAGUGUUUUGCCACUUAUUAGUUCAUUCGACCCACACAACAGUUUUAGGAGAUAAGAAGGCCAGGUAACUUUUCUUCAGAGUUAUAGAAAGAAAACAGACUCAAAGUUUAGUCCAAGGUCUCAGUGCUAAUUGGUGGUGGAAUCAGGUUAGGUAUGUCAACCUCCUGGCCCAAGAAAGAUAGUCUCUGUUGGAGCACCUUGCACAGUGCUUGAUGCAUAGUAGGUGCUCAAUAAAUUUCAUCUGAAGCUGGAUCAUGGAAUGGUGGUCUUCUAAUCCCACAAGGCCGUUAUCCUGCUGUGGGAGUAACCAUCUUCUCUGGUGGUCUAAUGUCCCUGACAGAAUGUGCGUAUUCUCUCCUAAGAGAAGAGUGGAGAUGAGGCCUGAGUCAAAUAUCCUAAGAAGCUGCCAAAAUACCUGUGGAGAAUUGCAUAACCUUGUCCCUCUAGGGCUUAGAAAAGAAUGAGUCAGACAGUCAGUUCUCAGACACAGUGCCCAAGAAAACAGGAAGAAGGUUCACUUAGGCAGAAAUCCAUGUAUGUGACCUUGGAUACAUCACUGAACUUCUUCAGGGGCAACAAUUUGAAAGACAAAUUUGAGACACUCUGCCUAGGAUGACGUGAUCCUUCUGUAGCUGAUCUUCUGAGACCCCUGAAUUUUAUGUACUAUUUUCUAAUUAUAUUCUCAUUAUUUUCAAGGGCAUCAGACUGCAUUUCAAACUUGACAAUUCCUUUGCUAUAAUUUCAGCUUAAAAUUUGACUAAUUUAUACUUUAAAUACAAAUAUGCCCAAUUUUCUGCUUGUCAUCAUAGUUCAGAAAGAAGUUAUACCAACCAUGUUAUAUAAAGUAACCAGGGGUCCUAUUUAGCUUGUUAACCAUGUUUCUUAAAAAAAAAAAGUACAAUAGAACUUUCUUUGUCAAUAUAAAAUUCGAGUUAUUUAUGACGUGGCUAAAGAUAUGAUAAGAAGUCUCAGAAAUGGAAUCUGUUAUUGCUUGGAAAAUAAAAUCUCAAGACCUUCUUUGGAAAAAAAUGGAGAGUGAUAAAAUGCUUUCAUUUAGGGCUUGGCUGUGAUGUCAAGGUCAGCCAAUGAGCUCAGAGGGAAUCUGAGAAAAAUAAAGAGAAAAAUAGAAACA